rnacentral:rRNA from 1 species
UACGUAGGGUGCGAGCGUUAAUCGGAAUUACUGGGCGUAAAGCGUGCGCAGGCGGUGAUGUAAGACAGGUGUGAAAUCCCCGGGCUUAACCUGGGAACUGCAUUUGUGACUGCAUCGCUGGAGUGCUGCAGAGGGGGAUGGAAUUCCGCGUGUAGCAGUGAAAUGCGUAGAUAUGCGGAGGAACACCGAUGGCGAAGGCAAUCCCCUGGGCCUGCACUGACGCUCAUGCACGAAAGCGUGGGGAGCAAACAGG